rnacentral:rRNA from 1 species
AGCAGCCGCGGUAAUUCCAGCUCCAAUAGCGUAUAUUAAAGUUGUUGCAGUUAAAAAGCUCGUAGUUGAAUUUCGGGGUCAGUAGGCUGGUCGUGCCACAGGUACGUACUGGUCUCACUGAUUCCUCCUUCCUGAUGAACCGUAAUGCCAUUAAUUUGGUGUUGCGGGGAAACUGGACUGUUACUUUGAAAAAAUUAGAGUGUUUAAAGCAGGCUAACGCUUGAAUACAUUAGCAUGGAAUAAUGAAAUAGGACGUUCGAUCCUAUUUUGUUGGUUUCUAGGAUUGACGUAAUGAUUAAUAGGGAUAGUUGGGGGCAUUAGUAUUCAAUUGUCAGAGGUGAAAUUCUUGGAUUUAUUGAAGACUAACUACUGCGAAAGCAUUUGCCAAGGAUGUUUUCAUUAAUCAAGAACGAAAGUUAGGGGAUCGAAGACGAUCAGAUACCGUCGUAGUCUUAACCAUAAACUAUGCUGACUAGGGAUCGGAUGAUGUUAAUUUUUUAAUGACUCA